CACCGCGGUUAUACGAGAGGCCCAAGUUGAAAGACUGCGGCGUAAAGAGUGGUUAAGCUAGAAUUUACACUAAAGCCGAACGUACUCACGGCUGUUAUACGCACCCGAAGAUAAGAAGCUCGACCACGAAGGUGGCUUUACUUAGUCUGAACCCACGAAAGCUACGGCA
rnacentral:rRNA from 1 species